UACGAAGGGGGCUAGCGUUGCUCGGAAUCACUGGGCGUAAAGCGCAUGUAGGCGGCUUUCUAAGUCAGGGGUGAAAUCCUGGAGCUCAACUCCAGAACUGCCCUUGAUACUGGAAAGCUUGAGUUCGGGAGAGGUGAGUGGAACUGCGAGUGUAGAGGUGAAAUUCGUAGAUAUUCGCAAGAACACCAGUGGCGAAGGCGGCUCACUGGCCCGAUACUGACGCUGAGGUGCGAAAGCGUGGGGAGCAAACAGG
rnacentral:rRNA from 1 species